rnacentral:lncRNA from 1 species
AGAAAAGGCAGACCCAAAUAGCUUAUCUGAAUCUGAAUGACUUUUUCUCUACGAAUUUACAGCAUACAUCGUAUUUUUUCCUGUUGCCACUGCUAAGAAACAUUGAUUAAAUAGCCUCAUCUUUUUAACUGGGAAAUGAUAGAGCAGAUUGGAAAAGGAAUUUUGGAGCAAGUCUUCUGGGACAUGUCCUCAACUAGACCAUUUUUAAGCAGAUCAACUCCGGAUGCCUUCGCGGAUUUAACUUCCUUUCCCAGAAAAGGCAGCUGAUGUCUCUUGGACCUUCCACCUCUCUCUGCCCGUGGGACUGUCUACUCCACCCCCGUGUUGUCAAGUACAUCUCUAUACCAGCGGACACACCCUUUCCCCAUUAAACCCUUCCUUUCGAUGGGGCCCCGGGGCCAACCUGCCAGGUCAAAGGCGAGUGGAAUUCAACCUGGAUGAGACACCCUAUAUAUCAGUGGAUUCUCUUCAAUCCCCACACCACCCAGUAAAAAUUAAACAGAUGGGGUUGAUUCUUUGAAACUGGAGUUCCUGCGAGUGACGCCAUAGCAGCAACUGAAGCAAAUGGAAACAUUUUAG